UAGGGAAUCUUCCGCAAUGGACGCAAGUCUGACGGAGCAACGCCGCGUGAGUGAAGAAGGAUUUCGGUUCGUAAAACUCUGUUGUUAGAGAAGAACAGCACAUAGAGUAACUGUUAUGCGUGUGACGGUAUCUAACCAGAAAGCCACGGCUAACUACGUGCCAGCAGCCGCGGUAAUACGUAGGUGGCAAGCGUUGUCCGGAUUUAUUGGGCGUAAAGCGAGCGCAGGCGGUCAAUUAAGUCUGAUGUGAAAGCCCCCGGCUCAACCGGGGAGGGUCAUUGGAAACUGGUUGACUUGAGUGCAGAAGAGGAGAGUGGAAUUCCAUGUGUAGCGGUGAAAUGCGUAGAUAUAUGGAGGAACACCAGUGGCGAAGGCGACUCUCUGGUCUGUAACUGACGCUGAGGCUCGAAAGCGUGGGUAGCAAACAGG
rnacentral:rRNA from 1 species